rnacentral:tRNA from 1 species
GCUUUCGUAGCUCAGUUGGUAGAGCACUUCACUCGUAAUGAAGGGGUCGUGGGUUCGAGUCCCAUCGAAAGCU